UCUUUUGUCUUUUUGUGUUUCUUGUAGGCAAACAGACUUUUUUUUUUAUUGAUGAAAGUCAGUGCACUGGGAAAGGAGUGGAAGGUGUGGUGUCUAGGGCUCAUCAUUAUUUGCAGAUAUAUGGCAUGGGAGAAAAACAUGCACAUGUUGUAUAAUACUAAAACAAAAUAUGUUAUACCUUAAUAUAUUUCAUUUUUGGCUUGAAUCUGACUAUUAUAAAGAAGCAACACCUGUUGGCAAAUGGCACACUAUAGAGAGAACAAAGGGAGCAAACAUCUGCAGGUUGACUAUGGUUUAUGACAUGGUUUCAAAAUCACCAACAGUAUAAUUGCAAAAAUGCAAGCAUUAAAUUUUGCUUGAUCCUUUUUGUUUGUUUUUUUUUUUUUUGUUUUUUCUUUUUUUGUUGUUUUUUUUUUUUUUUGAAUGAUAAAACUCACAUAUUCACUGACUCAAGACUAGUUAUAUUCUGUUAUAAGUACAAAAGAAAAAUUAAACACACUUUUACUCCUUUGUAAAAAUGUGUCCACUUGUAAUACUUUAUGAUAAGUAAAACAUACAUCACAUUAAAAAUGAGUAUCUUAACUAUUGUUUUGCAUUUGAUUUAAUUUGUUAAGUGUUCUGUUUUAUUUUUAUUAGUUACAUUUCCAUAAUGCAGCAGGGCAGAACAAAAACAACUAUGUCAUUUGGUAUGCAGUUAUGGAGCACUUUAAUAGGACUACAUGAGACUGUUGCAAUGAGUAUUUUGGUGACAGGGCACAGGAAAUUCAACCCAGAUUAGCAUUUUGAUGUAUGGAAAGUGAAGUGGAGAGAUUCUGAUGCAUAAACUAUGACCAAAAUGGCUGACACUGUGAGACAGUCAUCAAAAGGGGGUCACAAUGUUCCACAAGUAGUUGAUAAUCCUGAAACACCUGUUGUUUUUACAGAUUGAGGUUGCAUAAAGUAUAUUCGAAGAAGAAUAACAACUGGACCAGUCACAAGGAGAAAGAACCCAAGAAGUAUGAAUAUAUACCAAGUCUGUUACAGAGUAUCCUGACAUACUUCAUGGAAAGUGAUGAACAACUGAUGGCACCUGAGCAAUUGACCCCAAAGGAUCCUAGAAGAUUCAAAAGGACACUAUCUAAAGUUCACCGCCACCAACAAAGACCCUUGUAAAGAAAUAAAGAUUUGGUGACGAAAAGGAAAUAAAGUGUGAACCAAAAGUGACUUCAGAUUGACAGUAAGAAACAGUGACAGCAGAUAUCAUGAAAUAUAGUUUGCAGUAAACUGCUUAUGUGUUUAAAGAACUGUUUCUGUUUUCUUUCAUUUAGUGUGGGGUGUGUUCUGUUUUGUCAUCUUGUGACUGUUUUAUCUUCAUGGGACUAUGUCAUAUUUGAUGAACAUUUUGAUUUUCUACAAUCAGUCUGAAAAAACUUUGACAAUAAAUCAUAAUAACUCAGCUUUUGGUAAUAAAUGGUGAUGUGAAUAGUCGUAAAGAUUAAAGUUGUAAAUAAUGAAACUUCAGCUUGUUGAAGUUCUCUGCUAUUAGCAUACAGCUAGAUAAUAAGUAUUUAAGAUAGAAGUCUACAUACAUGUGGACAGCUAAAGAAGAAACUUGACAUUCCGAGCACGGUUGUAGGACUUUGAUUGAUACAUAAUUUCA